rnacentral:tRNA from 1 species
AAAGUUCUAGUUAAACAGUUAUAACAUUUCUUUGUCAGGGAACAAUUGCAAGUUAAAAUCUUGCGUACUUUA